AGAAAUAUGUCUGAUAAAAGAGUUACUUUGAUAGAGUAAAUUAUAGAGGCUAGGAUCCUCUUAUUUCUA
rnacentral:tRNA from 1 species